AUUGAACGCUGGCGGCAGGCUUAACACAUGCAAGUCGAGCGGGGGAAGGUAGCUUGCUACUGGACCUAGCGGCGGACGGGUGAGUAAUGCUUAGGAAUCUGCCUAUUAGUGGGGGACAACAUCUCGAAAGGGAUGCUAAUACCGCAUACGUCCUACGGGAGAAAGCAGGGGAUCUUCGGACCUUGCGCUAAUAGAUGAGCCUAAGGCGGAUUAGCUAGUUGGUGGGGUAAAGGCCUACCAAGGCGACGAUCUGUAGCGGGUCUGAGAGGAUGGUCCGCCACGCUGGGACUGAGAAACGGCCCAGACUCCGACGGGUGGCAGCAGUGGGGAAUAUUGGACAAUGGGGGGAACCCUGAUCCAGCCAUGCCGCGUGUGCGAAGAAGGCCUUAUGGUUGUAAAGCACUUUAAGCGAGGAGGAGGCUACUUUGGUUAAUACCUAGAGAUAGUGGACGUUACUCGCAGAAUAAGCACCGGCUAACUCUGUGCCAGCCGCCGCGGUAA
rnacentral:rRNA from 1 species